AAUUGACAGUGCACACAUCCACAAGGAUAACACUUGUAUCUUCAAAGGAAAUGAAGGUGUUAUCCUCUACAAUGGCCUUAAACACAACAAGUAAAGCAGUUGUGUCAAUACCAACCUGGAUGAUCAUCACCAUUGUCAUAGCUGCUGUUCUGCUCCUGUCCAUAGCUGUACUCAUAGGCUAUGUGAUUGCAACGUAUGUUUAUCAGAAGAUUGGGGCAUACAACAUGCAAAUCACACAAGACAAUUAUUAUUUCCAGUUUAGAUCAUGGAG